rnacentral:misc_RNA from 1 species
GUAUUUUCAUUUGUUUAAAUGAAGUUCAGUCAGAUAAUAAGACGUUUGUUUGUUUAGUAUUUAAAAAACUCUGGCAGAUCGAAAGACUGGCGCCCGAGAGCCCCCGUCAUUUCACUCCCUACCAAAGCAUACGUUAACAGUGCACAGUGUGGUUGGUAAUUGGAUUACAUUUGUUAAUGAUCCUUCCGCAGGUUCACCUACGGAAA